AUGGUUGAAAAUAUUUGUGGAAAUAGAACUACGAGAUGUUCUGGCUCAUCUCUUCAUUCUUCUCCUGAGCAAUAUUUACGGAAUUCUGCCUCAGAACUACCUCUUGUCCCUUUUAAAUUACCAUUUCCAUCACUCCUUUCCGACAAGGUCAAUGAGGACUACAUGAAGCCAAAGAUCUCAAAUGAAUGCCUCCCUUUGGCCGACCUAAUAGAACACUGCUGGCCAACGAGUCUGUUAAACACUAUUUCUGAGAGUCUUACUAUGAGGUACAAGGAAGUGUAUAAGAUAUUUCUAAGCAACAACAAUCAAUACCUGGCAUGAUAUCUGAGUUUAAAAUGAAUAUCACACCUUUUUUCUUUAAUGUACUUUGCUAGUGCUCUUGAAGAUGGACAAUAAGAGUAAGCACUUACUAUGUUGUUAACUAAUAAGAACUAUUCCUCUUAAACCAGUUCUUUCUUAUAUUUACACAUUAUAAGCUGUAAUUUUAGUGUGUUUUUUUUUUCAUCAAAUACCAAGUAGACGGUGAGAUUAUCAAAUCACUCUUUUGUUCACAGGUGUGUGUGUGUAUGUGAGUGUGCAGCCUAUUUGAUCGUCAACCUGACAUUCAAAUACUUGCAAAAUGCCACCUACAUUUUUCUAUAUUGCCAAUAAGUAUUGAAAGGUAGUACCUGAAAGUUGAUAUGGCUAUAGAAAAAGGCCUGGGAACUUCAACACUGUUGAAAAUCUCCAAGAAAUGGUUUCAUUUACAUAGGACAAAAAAUCUUGCCAUGUAACCUAUAUCAAAACAAAUAAUGUGGAUGGAAAUAAAAGUAAGACAUUAUUAAAUUUCA
rnacentral:lncRNA from 1 species